rnacentral:rRNA from 1 species
CAGCAGUCGCCGCGGUAAUACAGAGGGUGCGAGCGUUAAUCGGAUUUACUGGGCGUAAAGCGUGCGUAGGCGGCUUUUUAAGUCGGAUGUGAAAUCCCUGAGCUUAACUUAGGAAUUGCAUUCGAUACUGGGAAGCUAGAGUAUGGGAGAGGAUGGUAGAAUUCCAGGUGUAGCGGUGAAAUGCGUAGAGAUCUGGAGGAAUACCGAUGGCGAAGGCAGCCAUCUGGCCUAAUACUGACGCUGAGGUACGAAAGCAUGGGGAGCAAACAGGAUUAGAUACCCCGGUAGUCCCUGUCUCUUAUAA